rnacentral:lncRNA from 1 species
CACCCAUGGAUGGUCUAUUCACUCCUUCCUCCUCCACGCAUCUCAGAGCCAAAUCUACAUACUUCUCAAACCCUUUAAGGUUGCUGCUGCUUGCGAUGAUUGUAGUGUCCAUCAGUUCUUGGAGGUCAUACAAACUUCUGGUCUUAUUCAUCUUCGUCUUCACCUCUCUCACCACGUAUUUACCCCUCUCUAUUGGACUUUUACCGGUUAACAGCUCAAGCAUCACCACACCAAACCCAUACACGUCACUCUUCUCAGUCAACUGAUUUGUCAUGUAAUACUCAGGAUCCAAGUAUCCCUAAUUACCGAGAGUACUUUUAUAUUAAAAAUAUAUGAGAAAGAUAUUGAAAUAUUAUGAUUGAUUCGCUACUCACCAUAGUUCCUUUCACCUGUGUUGUCACAUGUGUUUUCUCAGGGUCUCCCACAAUUUUGGAGAGGCCGAAAUCAGCAACCUUAGCAGUAAGAUUUUCAUCAAGUAAUAUAUUGUUUGAUUUGAUGUCUCUGUGUAUAAUUGGAGGAUCAGCAAGCUCAUGAAGAUAAGCUAGACCCUUCCCUGAACCAAGUGCUAUUUUAAGCCUUCUUGUCCAAUCAAGUCUAAUCCCACUCUUACCUGCAUUAUUACAAAAUUCAGCACCCAAAACUGGCAGAAAUUCCGCAAAGACAGAGGUUUGGUAUAUAACCUGAUAGACUGUCUCUAAGAGAUCCAUUUGGAAUGUACUCGUACACCAGCAUUUGUUCCCUUCUAUCGAAACAGAAGCCCAAAAGUCUGACAACAUUCUUAUGAUGGACUCUAGAAAGAAGUUCAAUCUCAGUUUUGAACUCCAAGCCUCCUUGCAAAGAUCCUUGUUGAGCCCUUUUGAUGGCUAUGAGUUGUCCAGAGGGAAGAAUCCCUCUGUAAACCUGUUUCACCAUCAGAAUUUCAACGAAGGCCAUGUAUGUAUCAUUUGAAUUGAUUCCAUUGCAAAGACACAAACCUUGCCAUAACCUCCACCCCCAACAUCAUUUGCCUCUGAAAAGUUUUCUGUACAUUUCUUCAACUCUUCAAAAGUAAAAGAUUUUGCUCCCAUUAGCUGCGGAGCAUCAAUACUGCUCUUGCUCGUACUCCACUUGGCUGAAACAUACAAAAUGAAGAUGUAAGCAUUUUAAGUCUUAAGGGACAAAUCUUUUGUAGUAAACUUACCAAAAGGAUUGUUUUGAUCAGUUGCUUUGUCUGCUCUCUUCCUUUGCCUGAGAGCGUAAACCCCAGCUAAAGUUAACAACAACAGAAGAACCACAGCGCCAACUGCUGCUCCGAUUAUAAUGCCCAUGUUUGAUGAGCUGGGACCUCCUCUAUCUGUUGCAAGAAAAAAUGGCAGAGAAACUGAGCCAUAUUGAUCAAUACAGAUUCUGUUUGACUGCGUGUGUUGAUCAUACCAGAGAAUUGGUUGUAAGGAUUGGCUCUAAAUAUGUAAGGGCCAAAUCUAGGAGGAGGUUUGUAAGCCUGAUUGCUAAAGGCAAAAUUAACAAGUGACAUUCCACUCUCAUUAAAACUCUCUCUGCCCAAUGGAAAGACUAAGAGAUCUAUUAGAAGCUGAUGAUCGGUAGCGUUCUCUCUUAUGUUUCUGACGGCUACGGAGUCCACUGGAUAACUCGACUUCUUAACGAAAUCUGCUAUAGACUUCCGGAGAAUUUCGAAGUUGGUGGAGUUGAACAACCCUGAGAAGGAAGGAGAUCUGAAGUAGAGUGUUCCUAUGAUUGGAUGCGCGCAGCGGCACGAGGGACUUGCUUCCCUGCCCUGAUCACACGGAGUGCAUGUUGGUGGGAUUGUAGAAUAUGAGGUAUUGGGUGGGAUUGCUGAGCAGUAAUUUGGCUUGUUACCCUCUUCCUGGCACACUGGAUUAUCUGCCAAUCUGUAGAUAUAAAAAAACACAUAAGCAAACUAUUAUUAAGAAAAAAAAUCAUUUGUGACCAGGAUACAUACAUUACUUGGAUGAAUGUGUUAGAGGAUGGUUGUUUAUAGACAUCUAUGUUGUUGUAUUGUAAAUCAACAAACUCCAACUGGUUGCUAAAGCUGGUACCGAAGUCUAACGUUGAAUCUAUCUGAUUUCUCUUUAGGAUACUGCAAGUCAAUAAAGCACAAUUAGUACUUAUCUCAUAACAUGAGUUUAUUUUCCUGUUUCAUGUAUUGUUUGACUUACACAGUCUGCAACUGAGCAGGGCUGAAAAAUGAGUUUGGUAUCGAACCAUUGAGUUUGAUUCCUUCCAACCUUCUGAAAAGGAGAAGACCAUUUGUUCUUAACACAUGGAGAUCAAGAAGAAGAAAAGAGAUAAGGGAAGUUCUCAUACAAUGUUGCCAGAGAGUCUAAUGAAGAGAUCCAUGAUGGAAUAGGUGAGGGUUCGAAAGUGUUAUUGCUCACAUCUCUGUUACAAAAAAAAACAAGCACAUAUAGCAUUAGAUUGAUUGAUAAUAUAUGAAGGCUUGAUAAUAGUAGUAAUGGUAAACAGAGCAUCAAAAGAGGAGAUAUAUAUUUUUUAAAACUUACAGUGUGUAGAGACUGGUCAAGCUGGUUAGAUUUGGAAGAGUGCCAGUAAAUUCGUUGUUCGCCAAGUACCUGAAACGAAUUCAACUCAAACUCUCUACCAUUUUCUUUAUAUAUCUACAAACACAGAACAAAACUUUGGUUGUUCACUUACAGUUCUUGGAGACUUGUGAGAUUAUUAAGACUUGUAGGAAUAUUGCCAGUUAGUUUAUUCCUAUCAAGGCGUCUGUAAUGGAGAGUAAAGCAUAGUAUAAUAAUAAACAAUUUAGAAUAAAAUUUUUUUAACAAAGCGUUACUGCUUACAACACUGUCAACGUUUGAACCAGGCUGAGUGUGUCCGGGAUUUUUCCCGUGAAUUGGUUUCCAUCGAAUAGCCUAUGGAUAAAAAAAAAACAAAAAAUGUAGUCAUGUUGUUAGUUACAAGUCUCAAAUUGUGCAAACUCUGAACUUUCAUAAGUAUUAUGAAGCUUACACAUGUAUCAAAGUCGUGUUUGAACUGAAAAGGUUUUCUGGGAUAUAGCCUGAAAGCUUGUUUUUUCCAAAAUGGCUGGAGAAAGUGAAGGACAGUCAGACUAAUUAGUAUCUAAAAUGAGUGAUUACACACCCAAAAAAUUAAAGAUAGAAAGAUUUAGGAUUAUAUAUACAAAUGCUUAGUUUCAAGAAGCAUAUCAAGUCCAGGUGAAGAAGUCCCAUUAGAAACUGGAAGCGUUCCUUCAAUCUGAUUGUCAGCUAUAUCAAACCAAUAUAGUUUCGAUAACCGUCCAAUGGAAGCUGGAAUUGUACCACUGAAUUGAUUUAAAUUUAGGGAGCUGUAUUUCGGAAACACACAAAUUAAUACUGAUGGAUUUAGAGAGGCUUGAGCGCAAAAAUUGAAAAAGAGUCAAACAAAAUCUUACAGAUAUAUAAGUUGUUCUAAUUGUCCAAUGGACUCAGGGAUUUGACCAGUGAAACUGCAUCCCACAAGGAUCCUGGAGAGUAAAAAUGAGUUAGCCAAAAUAGGAAAUAAGACAAGGAGAUAUAUAAAGUUGUGAUACAGAUCCAAAGAUCAUGUUUUCCUACAAGUUUUUCAACUUCUUAAGUUCACCAAUAUUUGGUGGAAGUGGUCCAGUCAAUCCAGUGUUGUAUGACAAAUCCCUACAAAUAUUAGAUCAUAAGAUGAAAAAAAAUAAUCCAUUUCUAUGUAAAGAAAGAACAGAAAGAAGAAGAAAGACAAACAAGAUCUGCAAUUCAGACAAGGCUGCAAUAUCCCCAGAGAGCUUUCCUUCCACGUUAAGGUUACCUAGUGAUCUGCAGCAAGCAACAACACUGUUAAUAAUCUGCACAGAGGGUUAUUGGAAGAAGCAGAAACAAAUUACAAAUAACAAACAUGUCAAUACAUUGAAACGACCCGGUUAUUGCUACAUGUAAUUCCAACCCAACUGGUUCCACAAGGAUCAGCGCCUUCCCAGUUACUAGGAGGCUUGGUCCAUUCAGCCUUCAGGGCUUGUAAAGCAGGACCUGCACCAAAAUUUCAAACUAGUUCAGAAUUGAAAUUUUUGUAUCUAGAAACAGUGAUCAGCGUCUAUUUGAUUAUACUUACCGUCAAAACCAUUUGUGAGAGCAGAGACGGACAAAAUUUGGAAGAAAAGAAAGAUCAGGAGCAUAAAGGCUCCAAUUCUUGAACUCAUCUUCAAUCCGUCAGUGUAACUCUUUUCUGUUCCUACUUUUUCUAAUCCGUCAACGUAACACAACUUAUGAAAGACUGUAAUGUUUACAAAAGGAGGACUUCGAACAAUUUAAUUAAAAAUAUAUAUGAAAUAAGGUGUGGACCAUAAAAACCUUAGUCAACUUGAAAUAGCCGAUAAUGGGAUUUUAGAAGGUUUCAAUUCAGUAGGGUUAUGGGUAGGAACAAAUCAUGAACAAUACAUUAAAGAAAACAUAUGAGUUGUCGUGAUGCGAACCUUUUGUGGGACCUCUUUACAUCUACUAUACUUAAUACACUCAAUUAUUGAUUUCAAAAUUAAAUAUCUCCAAACGUAUUAUUUGUUAGCCCAAAACGUUUUAGUAUCUUCAUUCCUCCUCUAGACUGCAAGAAAUCAUUUUAAUAUUUUAUAGUAUGUAAGAAGCUUUAUUUGGAUACGUGGAAAAUCACCGGAAAGUUAAAUAAAUCUAAUAGGAGUUAGGAUGAAAAGCUAUCACACUAUAAAUACCGAAUAGAGGAGAAAGGAGAAAGGAGAACCAGAAACACACAGAAUUUUACGUUUUAGACUUGCAAGAGGAAUCCAAAUUAGUGUAUACAAAGCCCCAAAACAACAAAGGUAAGUUGAUUAAGGUUGAAGGCCAACUUUGGUUCCUUCAGAUUUUUUCAGCUAGCGUGAAUAUUAUUGGCAGGUGAUCCACUUUGGUAUUUCCAUUUAGUACACGCUACAAUCAAUAAUUUCAAAGAAUGGUACUAGAGAAUGGUUAAAAAGUAAGUAAAAUUGAAAAAGUUCAUUAUCCUCCAUCUUGACUCAAUAAAACAUAUAAAACUAAAGCUCAAAACAAAACACAAUAUCAUAUCAGUAGAACCUCCUCCAGACUUAAAUAACAUUGUCCCCAGUGUUAUACAAUAUAAGAUUGGUGGGAAAAUAAAUCAUAAAGACACAAUUUAACAAGGAAAACAGUAUACAUGCUCGCUGAUGGUGAGCGUCGAUCGGCACAGUUAAGUGGCAAUCGAUCGAUACUCGUGAUGCUUUGUCGAUCGAUAAUGGCCAGUUGUCGUCAAUCGUUGCUGGUAUAUCAACUCCUCUUCCUUGGAUCUUUUUUAUGAACAGUGACGCUGCUAUAGUGUCGAUCGACGACUCUGCUAUAGUGUCGUUCGACAUUGUUCAUCUUAUUUUUUUUACUUACCUAUCAGUGGGUUGCCUCUUACUCAGCGCUUAUUUUCAGCCACUAGCUUAACUUCUGGAGAUCUGAUUCAGACCGGAUGAGAACUUGCUCCAACAAAAGUCUCAAUGUCUACUCUUUGAAGCUUUAUCAUUUUUUUUGUGAAAGCCUCCACAGACUCUUCUCCUUUGUCUAUCAUCUCAGCAAUAAGGAGUGCUUGAAGCUUUGCGAAUGGCUGUGAGAAGUGAGGAAUCAAUGAUAACUGAGGACCGCCCUAGGUCCUUUUCCUCUUCUUCCAGUUCUUCCUCUUCUUUCCCCCAGACUUGUCUGGUCGUGUGGUGGUGCCUCUAUCAAAAAGAUUUCGACACACUUCAAACUCCUUCUGAUCUGAUACACGUCCAAUGUCGAUCGACGAUGAAGUGGUAGUGUCGAUCGAUGUUGUUUCUGUUGGGGCUGUGUCGACGUCACUUAUAUGUCUCAACCCUCUCUCAAAAACUAGUGCAUACAUAUGAUCAUCAAAUUUCCCAAUGUAAGAACCUAGAUGCACACUUCUAUUUGUUGGAAUAGGAGAUUCAACUUCAAAUACAAUGCAUGGGACCACAAACUUCACAUGGUCAUGUAUCCUCUUGACUCUUUUGUGAAACCCAGCAGCUUCUUCUGUGCAUAUAGGUGGUCUCAGAUGUUCGGGGACAGCAAGGUGUGAGGUCGUAGACGUGUGCAUUCUCUCCUCAACUACUUUCAGCCCAACUGUGACCUUGGCAGGUCGUCCAACGAUGGGUGUCGAUCGAUAUCAUUAGGUGGAUGUCGAUCGGUAUCAGGUGGGCGGGGUCGAUCGAUGUUGGGUUGGCGGUGUCGAUCGAUGCUGGCCUUUGGAGAAGUUUCCAGAUCUCUUCUUGUAGUGUGAUGAUCGUCAUAAAGCUUUAUCUUCGAGUCAUGGCCCAAAUCUCAAGGUUGUGCUUUAUCCUCUAACUUCAAGAAAUCCUAUGGCUCUAAGAAAUCUUCCAUAGUGAUCUAUUUAUCAAUAUCCCAAUCUUCAAGAUUUUCUCCCUCCUCUAGAUCCAAAAAUUCUUCUAGCUCCAAGAAAUCUUCCAUAGUGAUAUCUCUGUUUACAUCUAAGGAAAGACAGCUGCUUGAUAUAUCGAUGCUCUCUGGUGUCGAGUCUGUAAUGUCCUGAGGAAACCUCGAACCUUCAGGGAUUUCAAGUGGUGUCUAUCAAGAAUAAGAGAUUGUGUCGAUCGACACGAUCGAUGUUGAGGUGGUAUUGUCGAUCGAUGUUAAGGUGAUGAUGGUGUUGAUUGAUGCUGAAGCCGUAGCAUCAUCUGCUUGUUGAACCUGAAUGUCUGGUUUCUUGAUGUGAGUGCUCAUGGUUUCAAAUUCUCCUUUCUGCUAAUUGUAGACAACACCCAACAUCUGACUGAAACUAGACAUCAAUUCCUUCUCCUGAUCAUCAAUCAUCUUGUCCAACAUAUAAUCAAGCUUUCUAUGUCGAGUUGCUGCAGCUUCUCUGAAUAAUUUGAUGAGGAAGGCAUUUUUAAUGUCCUCCCAACAGGUUAGAGAUCCUUGCUGCAGUUGACUGAACAAGCUAAAUGCACCCCCAAAGAGAAAGUGAGGGAAAAUCUUGCAGAGAAUGUGUGUGGUCUACAUAUACAUCAUUGCUCGCUCUCUGAGGCUAACUUCUCAAGCUCCUUGAUGUGGUUUCUAGGAUCUUCAUGAGGAAGACCAUGUAAGGGGUCUUGACCUACCCAAUCAUACCAUUCGCGGCUCAGAUCAAAGUCAUUCAUCUCAGCAGCAACAAUCACAUAAGGGAUUACAGCAUCAUGUGCAUUAAUCAGUUGUCAUGCGCUGUUGCGAAUGCGGCCUUCUUCGUCUCGUAAGAACCCAUUUUCAUCAAAACUCAGUAUGAGUACUUCGAUAUUCUCUGUCUCCAUCCCAUUCGGCGCCGGAUGAAUAGUACCAGGAUGAACAGUGUUGGGGUAAACAUUGUUGGAUAAACAGUAUCGUUCGGCAUGGGAUGAACAGUGUAGUAAGGUGCUUGGUUAAAGUUGUCGAUCGCUGCUGCUCCUAGACUUACGGAUCGUGCGUGAAUUAGCAUGCUCCUUCUUUGAAGAACCCAAAUAUCCUCUCAUCAUAGUUUUUCAUGGUACUAAUAUGUAUGUACAUGAACAGAAGAAUUUAUUUUAUGUUAAUAAACUAAUAUAGAAAAACCUAGAUUAAAUCAAACCAACUGAGUCUAAUGGCGAUCCAAUGCUCCCCGGCAACGGCGCCAAAUUUGAUGUCACUCAAAUUACCCUAAGGAGUGACUUUACUCUCUCAAAUAAGAGGUUCAGUGGUAGUAAUUGGGGAUCAAAUUCACAGGGAGCAUGAACACACAAUAAACUCAAUACAGUAGGCAAACAAUUAUGAAAACAAUAAAUAAAGUAAACAUGGUGAACAAGGUAGUUGUUCAGUUGAUUGAUGAGUUGUUUGAUGGAAGGAGGGUUGCCAGACUUAGGGUUUCAAUCAGGUUAUCAUGACUUUAUCAAUAAAUGCUAAGGGUUGAUCCUAGAACUCGAAUUCAUAUAAGUAAGUAAACCAGCUCUCGCAUGCGCUUACUAACAGAUGCCUGGAACCAUGUGAUUCCAGUUGUUGCAUGCGAACUUAUGAACGAGCGUCGAUCGAUACUAUAGAGUGAGUGUCGAUCAACACUCGUUCCAGAAAAGCGUUAAGAGCCAAUUCGAUUUGUUCACUAAGUUAUCUAAAUCAGCUUUCGCAUGCACUUAGCAACCUAGCUCAACAAGACUCAAGUCAAGUAGUAGACCAGCUGUCGCGUGCGCCUAACUAUCCUAUGAUCAUGUUUCUAGUUAAUUACUCUAGAAACAAGCAGUAAGAACAAUCCUAUUAAAUAAUCUAUUAAAGCACCCUAGCGUAUCUAUAUUUCAGAAGAACAUCAAAACCCUAGAAAACCUAGAUCUAGCAGGUGAAUCUAUUCACACCUGAUAGUUGUCACAGAAAAUCAUAGAUGAAUAUAUAUAAAAUAGAAAGAAAUAUGAAAAACAAAAGAGUUCCAAGAGGACUCUAAAGGAGUUACUCUCUUCUUUCCUAACAUAAACUAAGAAAAAAAUAUGUAAAGAAAGCGUAGCCGUCAACUAUGGCUUAAAAACACAUAAAUAGGGUUCUGAGUCGUUUAUCGGCAUUCUGGUAAGUUGUUGUGACUUCUGGGCAUAAGUCGGUCUUCAAAUAUACUUGUCCAGUAUUUUUGGAUCUCCGUCGAUUGACAGCAAAGCUGUGUCAUCGAUCGACAUUCCUUCAUAUCCUCGACAGCUUCCUCUUGCGAGGCAGACGUACCACUCUUCAGUAAAACGGGCAUAACUUCUGCUACAGAAUGCGGAUUGACCUCAAACCGGUGGCAUUGAAAAGAUAAAUCAAAUAUAUAUCUUGUAUCAAAAACAUCAGCUUAAUCUCACCGUGGUAAAGUAUCCAUCCAUAGAUAAACAUCUGAUGCAUAUGUGCAGUUCUACACCUCAAAGGCUCCAAAAUCACCAAAGUUUUCUAGAACGUACCUAAACCUGAAAAUACUCUAAAACGGACUCCAAAAACAUAUACUAGACUCUAAAACAACUAUAUAUCAUGGUCUAAAAGUGGUAUAAUGUAUGGUAUAUCAAAACUCAAAAGAGAAGAAGCUGAAAGUUGCAGAUUUUUAUUUGCUUUCCUUCCUAAACGAUGUUGUUUUCUUACUGUUUUUUAUGCCUGAUAAAAUGAAUAAUUACCACAUAAUAUUCACUUAAUACCACGUACUACACUAUAAAACACGUAAGCAACAUAAAACGGACAUCCAAUUUUCUAUAACGUUUUACCAACAAAAAUCGGAUCAAUGUAUGCAAAAGCCAUUAUUAAUAAGUUUGUGUAUCGAAUUUGAAUGUUUUUGUUGUUGACGUAUGAAUUGCCCAACCAUAGAGUUCGUAUACUGAUCGGGACCGUUCGAUCUUGUUGACGUAUGAACAUGCUGAUUUGCCGUUAUAAAUAGCAUGGUUGUACUAGUUAUACUAGUUCUACUGAAUCUGUUUUAUAACAUAUUAUUACUAGUUGAACUAGUUUCAGUCUUUUAAAUGCACUAGAUGAUACACUACAUAUAUAAUUUCUACCUAUUUUUUAGUUCAACCCUGUCAUAAUAAUUUCCAAAACAAUUUUCAAUUGACUUGUUUACCGAUCUUUGCGCGUCAUUGUCAAUAGCAGCCUCGGGUGUGCGUGAAUAUCUGUUGUUAUAUCCAUUCUCCUCAUCAUUGUCUUCUACACGAUGUGAAUGACUCUUUAUGGAAGAGUUUGAAACUGAAAGUGAGGUUACUGGAGGUUACCUGGAUUCCCCACCUCAGUAGGUGCUUGACUAGGUGAUUUUUGGGGCUGACUCCAAAGCGUUGGGCUUGCCGUAGCCUCAUUAUCGGGCUGCGAAGACAAUUUCGUUGAUGGUGCCAGGGAAUGACAGCCUUGACGGUCCGGUGGAGAUGCUGCCGCUUCUCUCACGCGGUUCCAAACCCACUUGGUUGGAUUCGAGGGGGACCCACCGUUGACACCACUUUCUUGCUUUCUCUUCUUUUCUGCGGCCUCACUCUUCUUCUCCGCCAGUUCACUAUUCUUCUUCGCUGCGUCUCUCUCUUUCUUCACGGCGUCUCCUCUUUUCCGCUGCCACUUCUCUUCUCUUUACGGUGGCGUUGUUCUUCUUAUUUUCCGCCGCACCUGUGUUUUUCCUCGCCGGUGAGUCGCUCUUCUUCUCUGGCGCUCCUUCCUUCUUCUUCUUUCCGGUGAGUCGAGUUUUUGGCGACAUUGCUGGAUGUCUCACACAAAAUUGGAGAUGGAGAUGAGAUUUAAUAUGAUUGAUGCUUGAAUCUGAGUUUAAUUACUGAUUAGAGGAAUUUGAGAGGAAAGAUAGAGGGAUGAGAUCGUGGUUGGUUAUGGGAGUUUCGAAAUCGAAAAUGAGAGAUUUGGAAUUUAGGGUUAGAAAGUGGGGUUGGGUUGGUUGGUUUGGAUGAUUGAGUUUGUAAAUAAGUUAAACUUCUUAGGUUUCAUGGUCCUUUCUUCCUAUUUGUAUUUUUUUACUCAUUUUUUAAAUAGUAAAACAAGAGGUCCAUAUUAGAUUUUUUUUUUUAUACCUUGUGGUCUAUUCCAGCAAUUUUCUAGGUGGGAAACAAAAACAAACAUGCAAAUUCAGACAUUUGACGUAUUAAGUCAGUUACAAAAUAUUUGAAAAUAACACAACCGAUCAUUGGGGUUCGAGCUUUGAAGCUGGGAAAUUCCCACUGUACUCAAACGAAUCCUUUCCAUAAGGAUCACCGGAUCCUUUGAUAGCUUCCUCGUACGUUCUCGAAGAAGAUGCUGAAUCAACGUUCGGGUUUAAACCCGCAAGCUGCAUUAUGUUCUCAAUCUCUUUGACAACCUCACCCAUGGAUGGUCUAUUCACUCCUUCCUCCUCCACGCAUCUCAGAGCCAAAUCUACAUACUUCUCAAACCCUUUAAGGUUGCUGCUGCUUGCGAUGAUUGUAGUGUCCAUCAGUUCUUGGAGGUCAUACAAACUUCUGGUCUUAUUCAUCUUCGUCUUCACCUCUCUCACCACGUAUUUACCUCUCUCUAUUGGACUUUUACCGGUUAACAGCUCAAGCAUCACCACACCAAACCCAUACACGUCA